CUUCAGAUAAACAGGCUCACACCCCAAAAUAGAGUCACUAAGGGACCUGAAUACCAGGAGGAGGGUCUAGAAAUGGAAAGAAGUGGAGCUCAGAUUGAGAACCAACUGGAGAAAGGAUCUCUGGUCCUGAACAUCAAAACGUACAACAAGGGGGAGAGAACAGGACAAAAUGCAUCAAUGGAAAUGAGUAAAACUGAAGGAGCAGGAAGCUGCUGGGGAAAAGUCAGGCUGAGAAGAGGCCAAGAACAGACCCUGGCUGGGAGGACACUUCCGGCUCAGUCCCCCAAAUCAGGAUGAGGUUCAGCUUGACCACAGCUGUGCUUUCUAUAGUCUAUAUGUUUCUGGGACACAGCACUGGACACCAUGGCUACCAAGACGCACGGGUAUGGCUGGCCCUCAAGGAACUCCUACAUCAGAAGGGAGACAAAUGGAAAUGAAGAAUUGUGUAAUGAGCAAAAGACAGAUAAGGGAAUGAUUAACUCUGUCUGGAGACUGGGGUGGAGGGAGGGGUAAGAGUUAAUGAAAACCCUCUUUGCCCAAGGCAGAAUUAAGAAUUAAUACUACCUACUAUGCACAUGUACAUUAAUAUGUUGUAAUGUUAUAAAGUUAUGAAUGUGAUAAUUAUAGACUAAAAUAUUAGUUGAAUAGUAACAUAUAAACUGGCAUAUGCCCUAUGACUGAAACUGCAAAACUUGAAC
rnacentral:lncRNA from 1 species